rnacentral:lncRNA from 1 species
UUGACACACCAGGAAGAUGGCUUCAGAAAAAACUUGCAUUACAUUUAAUGAGCAGAUACAAAGAUUAAUAUGAAACCUUACCAGAGUGGAUUCAAGUAAAUAAAUCUUUCAGAAGAUGCUUAAUUAAGAUCUGAAUAUUACAGUUUAAUAAUGAUGAGUUUAAGAACACUAUGAACAUGAGUUUAAUAACAUAAGAAGACUAUGAACAUAAGUUUAAGAACACUUUUAACAUGGUUUCAAAAACACUUUGAGCAUGAGUUUAUGAACAUAAAAGCACUCUAAACAUGAGUUUAAGAACAUAGUUACCUUUGAAUCCAGUAAAACAUAUCAAGAGACAUCAGUUCCCCACCACGUUUGACAUUCCUGGCUUCCAGAAUCUGAGCACACUUGAAAGGUGGAGGAGCAGCGGCCAGAUUUCAAAUCAGAAGGGAGAAUUGAUGAGUUAGCUAUUUUAAAAAGAAUAUAUUGAAUUUAGUGUUAUCAAGGAUUGAGAGGAUGAUGUUCAAAAGAAGAAAGAUAACCUUUUUAUAGGUGUAGAAGAAACCGCCUUGCAGAGUUAAGAAGGCGAUAAAAGCGAUGAACCUGUAACUCGGACCGUUUCGGUUGAUUAGAGGAGAAGGCUAAACGACAUGAUUGAAGACAAACAAAGAGAUUCUUCAAGUUGAUUCGAGUCAUCCAAUCCCUCGAAACGCCACUGAUGGUGUCAGAGAAUGCAAAAGAACAUUUUUCGGUGACCCUAAUUUGGCGUGUAUUUGGUGAAGACGAAAGGGGAUUACGGC